CUGAACCAGCCAAGUAGCGUGAAGGAUGACUGCCCUAUGGGUUGUAAACUUCUUUUAUACGGGAAUAAAGUGAGCCACGUGUGGCUUUUUGUAUGUACCGUAUGAAUAAGGAUCGGCUAACUCCGUGCCAGCAGCCGCGGUAAUACGGAGGAUCCGAGCGUUAUCCGGAUUUAUUGGGUUUAAAGGGAGCGUAGGCGGGUUGUUAAGUCAGUUGUGAAAGUUUGCGG
rnacentral:rRNA from 2 species